UACGGAGGGUGCAAGCGUUGUUCGGAAUCACUGGGCGUAAAGGGCGUGUAGGCGGCCCGCUAAGUCUGAUGUGAAAUCCCCUCGCUCAACGAGGGAACUGCGUCGGAAACUGGCGGACUCGAGUACCGGAGAGGAAGGUGGAAUUCCCGGUGUAGCGGUGAAAUGACGUAGAUAUCGGGAGGAACACCGGUGGCGAAGGCGGCCUUCUGGACGGAUACUGACGCUGAUACGCGAAAGCGUGGGGAGCAAACAGGGAUU
rnacentral:rRNA from 1 species